AUCCACCUGGGGAGUACGAUCGCAAGAUUGAAACUCAAAGGAAUUGACGGGGGCCCGCACAAGCGGUGGAACAUGUGGUUUAAUUCGAUGAUACGCGAGGAACCUUACCUGGGCUUAAAUGCAGAACGACGAUUUGGGAAACCGAAUCUCCCUUCGGGGCGGACUGCAAGGUGCUGCAUGGUUGUCGUCAGCUCGUGCCGUGAGGUGUCGGGUUAAGUCCCAUAACGAGCGCAACCCCUAUUGUUAGUUGCCAGCGGAUAAUGCCGGGGACUCUAACGAAACUGCCGGUGUAAACCGUGAGGAAGGUGGGGAUGACGUCAAAUCAGCACGGCCCUUAUGUCCAGGGCUACACACGUGUUACAAUGGUCGGUACAGAGGGCAGCUACCUGGUGACAGGAUGCUAAUCUCGAAAGCCGGUCUUAGUUCGGAUCGAAGUCUGCAACUCGACUUCGUGAAGCUGGAAUCGCUAGUAAUCGCGCAUCAGCAACGGCGCGGUGAAUACGUUCCCGGGCCUUGUACACACCGCCCGUCAAGCCAUGGAAGCUGGGGGUACCUGAAGUCUGUUACCGCAAGGAGCGGCCUAGGGUAAAACUGGUGACUGGGGCUAAGUCGUAACAAGGUAGCCG
rnacentral:rRNA from 1 species